rnacentral:rRNA from 1 species
CCUACGGGGGGCAGCAGUCGGGAAUUUUGCGCAAUGGGGGAAACCCUGACGCAGCAAUACCGCGUGUGGGAUGAAGGCCUUCGGGUCGUAAACCACUUUUCUCGGGGACGAUAAUGACGGUACCCGAGGAAUAAGCCACGGCUAACUACGUGCCAGCAGCCGCGGUAAUACGUAGGUGGCAAGCGUUGUCCGGAUUUACUGGGCGUAAAGCGCGCGCAGGCGGUGAAUGAAGUCGAAAGUGAAAGCCCCGGGCUCAACUCGGGAACAGCUUUCGAAACCA